rnacentral:rRNA from 1 species
CAGUCGCCGCGGGAAUACAGAGGGUGCGAGCGUUAAUCGGAUUUACUGGGCGUAAAGCGUGCGUAGGCGGCUUUUUAAGUCGGAUGUGAAAUCCCUGAGCUUAACUUAGGAAUUGCAUUCGAUACUGGGAAGCUAGAGUAUGGGAGAGGAUGGUAGAAUUCCAGGUGUAGCGGUGAAAUGCGUAGAGAUCGGAAAGAACACCAACGGCGAAAGCACUCUGCUGGGCCGACACUGACACUGAGAGACGAAAGCUAGGGGAGCAAAUGGGAUUAGAUACCCGUGUAGUCCCUGUCUCUUAUAA